ACACGUGCACAGUUUCUACAAAUAUUGUUUAAAUAAAUGAAAAUUGAAGUUAAAAAUUUAUUCUAAAAAAUCACGUGUGCAUAGAACAUAAUGUUUAUAAAAAAAUUAUAUUUUACACUCUUUGUAUGAUGGUUAAAAGGAUGAGUUAAAAAAUGAUUGAUGAGUUAAAAAAAUGAUGACUGAGCGGAUGGUUAAACUGUUGUGUUGUUGUUUCUUCUUCCUGAGAACAAAGUCAGCGAUUUUAAGCCGAGAUUUUAGCGUCUCCUGUUUUACAGUAGCACCAUCUAAGGGGCAAGCGUACGACUAAGCUUCACAACCCUUUUUACGAGGCGGACUUCAUUCAUACAUUCACUCAUCCACAUAUCGUAAUUUAGACCUGAAUCAAAGGACAAUCAUCUCUGAUCCAGUACCCUCAGUGGUAUUGUCUCGACUUGGAGGACUUUGUGACCACGACAGAUUUAAGCGUGAACCAGCCAACUUAUACUCGGAGAUCGGCGGGCGAGCUUGGAACUCACUACCCAAGAUAUGCGAGUUCAGCUCCCUAACAAUCAGGCUAUUCCGACCCCUGAUUAAACUUUAACAUGCUAAAAAUGAUAAUUCAUAAGAGCAAAAGUGAUCUCAUCAUGUUGCUAAACAAGUUGAAUUCAAUCCCAAUAUCCUUAUUCCAUUUCGAAUUAUUAUAAAUCAAGAGGUUUACUACAUUUAUAUUAAUCUAAAUUUAAUCAAUUUAAUUCUGCAAUUCAUCUAGUAUCUUCUAGAAUUAGGAUUUAUCAGUCUAUUCCUGCGAUCAAAUAGCCAAAUGAAUGGACGAAAAUAAGAAAUUUUAGCGGAAAACAUAAAAAUUCUUAAUCAGAUUUUCGACUUUCAAAUAAGAGUUUAGUUAGUCCUGUUUCGUGUAUUAGAUAUAUAUGCCCGCUCUUUCCAAGCACUUAUAACAAAUUGAAAGUAUUGUUAAUUGCGUUUUAUUGAAUGUAAAUAACCCCCGGAGGCACCUCGAAAUGAGGAUGAGAAGCUUCCGGCAUGGUGGUUGGUUCUCGCCAUCCUAUGGGUACACGAAAAGGUGGGGGUCUGGCUCCUCCCAUCGAUGAUGGGACGUGGUUCUUUAGGGGAGGGCUGUCUUUCUUUAAGGGAGGGAGGCGAUGGUCCUUAGGACUCAACCACAGUUCUCGCCAGUGUUGCUGUUGCGGCGGUCCGGUCAUUCAGUAUUACUUAUCCGUGUGAGGAAUCAUAGAGAUUUCAAAUUCGGGGAUUUUCUGUGGCGAAAGAAAGAAAGAAAAUGAAAA